UACAGCAGCAGUCUCCCUCCCUGCUACAUUACCUGAUCUGGCUGGUUGGACUCCUGUAAAUCAAGCUGCAGAUGUUGAUGUCGACUGCUCAGAUGCAGUGGUUGUGGCAACCUUUGAUCGUCAACCACACGAAACACACAUAGAGGGAGCCACAAUAAUUCUUGAUUCUCAACAGACGAUGACAGCCACUGCAAUGACUGCCCCAAAAUCUCCAGCCAAAAAGAAGGCCAAACUGUGCAAAGUCACUGGUGCCAGGAAAGCACAUGCGAAGGGUCUGCUGACAGACGCCAUGUGCCGACAGAAGACUCAGCAGGAUGUAUUUAACAUGCAGCUUGAGGUCCUUGAGGCAACUCUUGUUACGCAGAA